AUACUCCUGAUUGACCGAUAGUGAACCAGUACCGUGAGGGAAAGGCGAAAAGAACCCCGGCGAGGGGAGUGAAAUAGAACCUGAAACCGUGUACGUACAAGCAGUGGGAGCCCCACCACCAAAGCAUUUUCUGGUGUUGAGGACAACUUUGAAGUGACAUUCAACACGCGUUGGCGGAGCGUUUUUUGCGACGCCCAACACAUAAAACAAGCAGUGAAUGUGCUUUGGGGUGGGGUGACUGCGUACCUUUUGUAUAAUGGGUCAGCGACUUAUAUUCUGUAGCAAGGUUAACCGUAUAGGGGAGCCGUAGGGAAACCGAGUCUUAACUGGGCGAAUAAGUUGCAGGGUAUAGACCCGAAACCCGGUGAUCUAGCCAUGGGCAGGUUGAAGGUUGGGUAACACUAACUGGAGGACCGAACCGACUAAUGUUGAAAAAUUAGCGGAUGAC
rnacentral:rRNA from 1 species